GACGAACGCUGGCGGCGUGCCUAAUACAUGCAAGUUGAGCGAUGAAGAUUGGUGCUUGCACCAAUUUGAAGAGCAGCGAACGGGUGAGUAACGCGUGGGGAAUCUGCCUUUGAGCGGGGGACAACAUUUGGAAACGAAUGCUAAUACCGCAUAACAACUUUAAACAUAAGUUUUAAGUUUGAAAGAUGCAAUUGCAUCACUCAAAGAUGAUCCCGCGUUGUAUUAGCUAGUUGGUGAGGUAAAGGCUCACCAAGGCGAUGAUACAUAGCCGACCUGAGAGGGUGAUCGGCCACAUUGGGACUGAGACACGGCCCAAACUCCUACGGGAGGCAGCAGUAGGGAAUCUUCGGCAAUGGACGAAAGUCUGACCGAGCAACGCCGCGGGAGUGAAGAAGGUUUUCGGAUCGUAAAACUCGGUUGGUAGAGAAGAACGUUGGUGAGAGUGGAAAGCUCAUCAAGUGACGGUAACUACCCAGAAAGGGACGACUAACUACGUG
rnacentral:rRNA from 1 species